UACGUAGGGGGCUAGCGUUGUCCGGAAUCAUUGGGCGUAAAGAGCGCGUAGGCGGCCAGUUAAGUCCGGUGUGAAAGUCAAAGGCUCAACCUUUGAAUGCCGCUGGAAACUGUCUGGCUAGAGUCCGGGAGGGGCGAGUGGAAUUCCUGGUGUAGCGGUGAAAUGCGCAGAUAUCAGGAGGAACACCGGUGGCGAAGGCGGAUCUCUGGACCUUGCCUGACGCUGAGGCGCGAAAGCUAGGGGAGCGAACAGG
rnacentral:rRNA from 1 species